rnacentral:rRNA from 1 species
GUAGGGUGCGAGCGUUAAUCGGAAUUACUGGGCGUAAAGCGUGCGCAGGCGGUUCGUUAAGUUCGUUGUGAAAGCCCCGGGCUCAACCUGGGAACUGCAAUGGAAACUGGCGGGCUUGAGUAUGGCAGAGGGGGGUGGAAUUCCGCGUGUAGCAGUGAAAUGCGUAGAGAUGUGGAGGAACACCAAUGGCGAAGGCAGCCCCCUGGGUCGAUACUGACGCUCAUGCACGAAAGCGUGGGUAGCAAACAGGAUUAGAUACCCUGGUAGUCCACGCCCUAAACGAUGUCAACUAGGUGUUGGGUGGGUAAAACCAUUUAGUACCGGAGCUAACGCGUGAAGUUGACCGCCUGGGGAGUACGGCCGCAAGGUUA